rnacentral:rRNA from 1 species
GAGUAACACGUGGGCAACCUGCCUGUAAGUUGGGGAUAACUCCGGGAAACCGGGGCUAAUACCGAAUGAUAAAGUGUGGCGCAUGCCACGCUUUUGAAAGAUGGGUUCGGCUAUCGCUUACAGAUGGGCCCGCGGUGCAUUAGCUAGUUGGUAGGGUAAUGGCCUACCAAGGCAACGAUGCAUAGCCGACCUGAGAGGGUGAUCGGCCACACUGGGACUGAGACACGGCCCA